AAACUUUCAACAACGGAUCUCUUGGUUCCGGCAUCGAUGAAGAACGCAGCGAAAUGCGAUAAGUAAUGUGAAUUGCAGAAUUCCGCGAAUCAUCGAAUCUUUGAACGCACAUUGCGCCCUCUGGUAUUCCGGAGGGCAUGCCUGUCCGAGCGUCAUUG
rnacentral:rRNA from 1 species